GAGGGUAUAGCUCAGUGGUAGAGUGUAUGCUUAGCAUGCAUAAGGUCCUGGGUUCAAUCCCCAGUACCUCCA
rnacentral:tRNA from 1 species